GGGGGCUUAGCUCAGAUGCCCCUUCCCCCGGGAGAGCGCCUGCUUUGCACGCAGGAGGUCAGCGGUUCGAUCCCGCUAGUCUCCACCA
rnacentral:tRNA from 1 species